AACGAACGCUGGCGGCAUGCCUAACACAUGCAAGUCGAACGAGACCUUCGGGUCUAGUGGCGCACGGGUGCGUAACGCGUGGGAACCUGCCCUUAGGUUCGGAAUCACUCCCCGAAAGGGGUGCUAAUACCGGAUAAUGUCUUCGGACCAAAGAUUUAUCGCCUUUGGAUGGGCCCGCGUUGGAUUAGCUAGUUGGUAGGGUAAAAGCCUACCAAGGCGACGAUCCAUAGCUGGUCUGAGAGGAUGAUCAGCCACACUGGGACUGAGACACGGCCCAGACUCCUACGGGAGGCAGCAGUGGGGAAUAUUGGACAAUGGGCGAAAGCCUGAUCCAGCAAUGCCGCGUGAGUGAUGAAGGCCGUAGGGUUGUAAAGCUCUUUUACCCGGGAUGAUAAUGACAGUACCGGGAGAAUAAGCUCCGGCUAACUCCGUG
rnacentral:rRNA from 1 species